rnacentral:sRNA from 1 species
UUGGUGUCUUGACUAGAAAUGAAAUGUUUGAACAAGUAAAAAUGAAUGUUUAUUAUAAGUCUGUCAGACAACCAUAUAACCAUCCCAGAAUGGCUCAUCAGACCAUUGAUCACACGGUGAUGAUCUUGGCGUUCUCUUCACCGGCGAUGAGGAAGUCCCAUCUCCAGCGAGCGGCGGCGUCAUCCCUUUCUCUACAUUGACGACGAGGACCAGCGGUCCCUCCAAGCGGUGAUUAUAUUGGAAGAUCAAGUAUGUAAGCUGGCUUCAGUACCUCUGGGAUGAUAUAAAGAAAGGAGAGAUAGAAAUACCGGAUUUUGUGAAAAAUCAUGAUGAUAUUCUUGAGCAUAGACCACUCAUAGAUAUGGUAUUAAACCUGAUCCCUUUCACUUGACUGGGAUACCUGCAUCUACCCACUCAUUUGGAAAGUACGAGGAGAGAUGGGCGGGAAGGGAUUAUGUGUCGUAGUAUGUGUAUUGCCUCGUUUCCUGAGAUGAACCUUAACCUUUGUACAGAAUGACCGGUAUUUGUAUUUCUUAAGCUCAUCUUUGAGUUUCUUUGUUUUUGGUCGUGGAUCUAAACCUGGCUGUGUACGAAUAGAACUACAUGUUUUCUAUGCCACAAGAAAUGUAUUUCUGGAGAUUAAUCUACAGAAUAAUUCCUUGUUCAUAUGUUGAGAUACUUUUGAAUGAAUUGCUCCCCAUAUGGUAUUACUGGCUCUGGUUUGGCAGGACACGACUGACGUGUCUUCUUAAGAAAUAGGAGAUAUAUAACACUUUCAGAAUUUAAGAAAUAGAAGUACAAGUUUAUCUGAAUAGUCUGCUCUCUAGGUUGGAGCAUUGGCUCGGCACAAUAUAUGUUCAUAUACAUUUUUGUGUAAUAACUGUCAUAUUAUCUAAAAAAUUAAAUCAUUUGUUCAUGACA